ensembl:misc_RNA Metazoa_SRP Metazoan signal recognition particle RNA
GCUGGGCAUGGUGGUGCGUGCCUGUAAUCCCAGCUACUCGGGAGGCUGAGGCAGGAGAAUUGCUUGAACCCAGGAGGCAGAGGUUGCAGUGAGCUGAGAUCGUGCCACUGCACUCCAGCCUGGGCGACAGAGCGAGACUCUGUCUCAA